GGCAGGGUAGACUUGCCCUGUUCACAUCAGAAGAGGAGGCCACCAAGUGCUUCCAUCAGUGCAGCUAGAUUCACACCAGAGCUCCUUUGUAUGAUAAAAGAAAGUCAUGGCUCAAGUUGUCUUCUUUGUGUGGGCACAACUCUUCUUCCUGAUACAUUAGUUUUCUACAUGAAAAAAGGUACUUUUCGUGUGGUGGACCUGUAAAAGGGUAAAAGAGUAUUGGGAAAUAAUCCAUAAUGAAUUGAAAAACAUGCUUAAAAGUAUUUUUCAAAAGAAAAGCCCAGAGUCCAUUUUGUUAGGAAUAAUUCAGACAGAAAUUCCCAGGUGCAGCCUGUGUUUUGUUAGCCCCAAAAUGGAAAAUGAGCAAGAUCCAAACCAAAGAAGAAUGGCAACUUAAGUUGAUGCAAUAUGUGCAGCUUGCAGAUGUAACAUAUAGCGUAAGAGAACAAGAAAAACAUACGUUUAGAGAAGACUGGAAAAUGUUUAUUGAAUAUAUGGGAGGAAAUUGUGUACACUUGAAAAUGUUGCAGCAUUAAGAUAAAUUCAACAGUGUAAAUAAGUUUUGAUUGAUGUAAUAAUGGAAUACUGAGUGGUUUAGUUUAUAGACAAUAUGCAAGGAUUUAACAUAUGCAAAAUGAACCAUGGAAAGAGAAGAAGGCCAGUCAUUGAUAUUUUAAGGAUAUUUAAAUGAGUAUUUUAAAGUGUAAAACAGAAAAUCAUAUUUAUUUAAUCGGUACAUUCAUUUAACAAUUGAUUGGAUUAAACUGGGACUGAACUGGAUUAAUAGAGUCCCUUUUUGAGGCAACUACUCAUCCACGCGCAACGUUGAAGCGUGAUCCAACUUUAAUUGAGGAUUUUUUUUAUUUUUCAAAAAUAUGUAUCAGCUAUCAGAUGUUUUGUAAGCUUUGCUCUAGUACAAAACACAUUCCCCCUCUAUCACUAUGGGCCUUGGCUUAGUGGCAUACCACAUUGUUUGUCCACAGAAGCUCAGUCCCAAGCAUCUCCACUGGGAAUGCUCCUUUCUGAACCUCUGGAGAACCUGUGACAAUCGGUGGGGAUCCUGCUGAAUUAGAUGGACCAAUGGAUUGGAGACCUGGUAUAAACUGCUUCUUCUAUGCUUCUAAUUAUGUCAUUCUGGUGGCAUAUAAAUUGCAGUGAACCCGCCUUAUCAUGAAAAUCAUACAGGCACAUGAAAACUGGAAGAGGAAAGCUUCUAGGCAACUGGCAGAUCACCAACCAGGAACUCAUACAUGCAAACCUCUCUGGGUUUUCUUCUUAGACGAUUGUCAAACAAAGGGUAACGAAUUGUUGAAUGGUGACAUGAACCCCUUGCCAGGUUAUCAUGAUAUCAGAACAAACUGAGUGUGAGAGCCCAUGAAGAUGCCAUCUGUUUCUAAUAGAACAACCAUGAUGUUUUAUGUAAGCAGCCCCCUGUGAUAUUAUAUUACAUGGAAGCCUGCCCACAGAACCAGAAUAUGCAGUGGAGCAGAAUGGAACACUGCCGUUAGCAGUAAAUUGAAUAUUCACUGAGGGAUCCACACAUCCAAUUAAGUUUGUGGCACAUCCAGACUCAAAGCUCAGCGCAGAACUUAAGCUUCCUACCUAGAUUCAGCAGAACCUCCCUUAGUCACUGGUGCUAACAAAGUCUGUUAAAUAAUGCAGACAGAAUCCCAAGAGAAUAGAAAUCCUGCUAACACUUUACUGAGCAAAACUGAACAAAAACACAGCGAAGACAAAGGAACGGAGACGUUUUGUCUUUCUUACAUCAAGCCUUCUACAUAGCAGAGAAACAUACAACCAAACAUAUAGAGGAAAAGCUCCCUCAGAACUGCACAGCCAAUCAGAGCAUGUGCUACUUCUGCCCGUUGCUAAACUAUGGGCCCCCACCCCAAGCUCAGUAGACUUAACACUGAGAACAGAAUUAACCCUUCAGUUGCAAACUGAAUGACAACUGCUGUUGUAUUUCCAGUAAUUGGGACUGGACCUAAUGGUCAGGGGUCCCUUUACCUUUACCUUAACCAGAGCCUAGCUCUGUGAUUCUGUCCUCCAUUACACAUGAUUCGGUACUUCUUAAUUCUUCAUCAUCCUUUUCAACUCCUGCCUUAUGUAACAUCUUGCCUGAUGAACAAUUUUGGAGAACUCAAAAGCUUGCUACUGCAACAUUUUGAUUCAUUGCUUUUUUAUAUAUAUAAAAAAUUAUCUCAAUCCCUGGACUGAAUGCUGGUUCCAGUCAAAAGUAGAAAUGGGUAGGAAAUUCAGUUUUGUUUACAAUUUUAAUGAGAAGCUACCUAAUUUACACUUCUCAAAUCAAUAUGAAAACUGAGAAACAAUCAUCCUUUGAAAUAUUCACUUCUAUGAAUUUUGCAGUGCAGUUCUCCAACUGAAUUUGAGACUGGAAAAAAGAAGAAACGGAGAAAUUAACAGAUUUCCAUCCCUACCCAGAAGUGACAUGGUUGUUUCUCUCCCAUUUGCUAAAGCAGUCCUGAAGGAGGACAAAAAGAGGCCAGAGAAUAAUUGCUUAACAGCAAUAUUAAUGCCAGCAAGAAUAUAUAUCAAUAUCCAGCAGCAGAACUGGAGGUUCAGCCAGCAGCACAGAAGCCAAUGGUGUUAAUCUUCUUUGGAAGGAAGCAGCCUCUUGUUCAACUUCCUCCUAUGCCUCUCUCCUCGAUAUUCUAUAUAUAGACUACAGAAAUCAUCGGAUCGCUUCUCUACUUGGUCUAACGGCAAACAAAAACCACGAGGCAUUGAUCAGCUGUGGCAUGAGCAAAAUGAAAUCUAAAUAAUGG
rnacentral:lncRNA from 1 species